CAUCGCCCCCUGUAAACCAAAAUAAAAUAAGGGGUACUGCCUGCCCAGUGAUNUAAAAAUUUAACGGCCGCGGUAUCUUGACCGUGCAAAGGUAGCAUAAUAAUUUGCUCUUUAAUUGAGGGCUAGUAUGAAAGGCAAAACGAAGGCUUAACUGUCUCCCUAUUAAAAAAAGAAAUUAAUAUUUUAGUGAAGAAGCUAAAAUAAAAUUGCAAGACGAGAAGACCCUGUCGAGCUUAAGAAAAUUUUUAUUUAUAAAUAAAAACGAAAGCUAAUUAAAUUAAAAAUACUUCUAUAAAAAAUAAUAAAAAUAUCUUUGGUUGGGGCAACCACGAAGAAAAAAAAACCUUCGAAUUUUUAUAAAAAAUAAACAAAUUUAAAAACUUUUUAAGCUUAAAAGAUCCGGUAUAUACCGAUUAAAGGAAAAAGUUACCGCAGGGAUAACAGCGUUAUUUUCUUUGAGAGCUCUUAUUGACAAGAAAGUUUGCGACCUCGAUGUUGGACCGGGGCACCCAARAGAUGCAGAAGUCUCUAAAGGUAGGUCUGUUCGACCUUUAAAGCCCUACGUGA
rnacentral:rRNA from 1 species